rnacentral:rRNA from 1 species
CGGGGUGGAGUAACGCGUGGGUAACCUGCCUCAUACAGGGGAGUAACAGUUAGAAAUAGGCUGCUAAUACCGCAUAAGACCACAGUACUGCAUGGUACAGUGGUAAAAACUCCGGUGGUAUGAGAUGGACCCGCGUCUGAUUAGGUAGUUGGUGAGGUAACGGCCCACCAAGCCGACGAUCAGUAGCCGACCUGAGAGGGUGACCGGCCACAUUGGGACUGAGACACGGCCCAG